GGUUGGUUAUGACAGAGGCACAUCUUCCUAGCCAGACUCUGGAGCAGGGACUCGACGUUCUGGAAAUCAUGAGAAACAUUCUUUUGGAAAUGCUUGUUUUUAAUUGCAUUUACCCUUUUCUUUGGAUACAUCUUGCAUGUAAUCCUAACACCUAGAAUUCUGACCUCCUUCCUUGGUUCCCACCUUUGGAGUGGAGAUACGGUGCCCAGGCUGGAUGCAGUGCUUAGGUCAGGGUAACUGUCUCAGCCCAAGCUAAACACUUUGACUGUUAAGUCAGAAGAAACAGAAUAGAUUGGAAAUGGUUUUUAUUAUAUAAACAUGGCUUAGAGAAUUAUGAACAAAGGGUGGAUUAAAGGCAUUUAAUGUUUAUAAUUGAUACUAACUGUAGAGAUGGCCCUAAAGCAUGCUGCAUAAUUAAUAAUUUAUAUUUUCAUUAUUAUAAAUGUUUAUAUUAAUGAUACUGGAUUUGAUUAUAUCAGAUUAGUCACCAUUUUAUAGUACCAAUAUUUUCUCUUUUUCUUAAAAAUGUUCUUUGUUUAAUUAUUCCCGAACACGAGAAUUCACAAACUGACUCCCUGAACACUUAAAAUUGGGAAGUGACAGGUAAUUGUGUUACCUUUAGUUAAAAAUAAUGUCACUGUAGUCUGGAUAAAUUGCCAUGAACUCGUGAAUUUGAAGUCCAGGCUCUAAGGAGAGAAGUAUUUAAAUGGUGUUAAGCUGCCGAGCAACAGGGCUUCAGUGUGUUCACAUCUGAGUUACUGUACAGUGGAGAAUGGUUUUCCUUGCUAACAAUAUUUUUUCAGAAAUAUUGUAAUUUAAAUAUUAACAUGAGUGUUUUAAUGUAAAUUCACAGAAAACUUAAUGAUGUUCAAAUUCUCAGGAAUUAAGACCUAACCAUAACAUUGUCAGUUCUGAUUAAAUUUUGUAAAAGACAGCAAGUUUGUUAUCUCAUUUGAGAGGGGUUCUCUGUUCCCCUGGCUCUAAUAGAAUACAGUAUGUAUAAUAAAGCAUUAAUAAAUAUGAUUUCAAAACUGUCCUUCCCUUGGA
rnacentral:lncRNA from 1 species